rnacentral:lncRNA from 10 species
AGGUCCAGUGCAAAUAGGAAUAAUGCAUAACUUCAUACUGGGUUGAUUCAUGUCUUCUAUGAAAGAAAUUAUUUUUUCAAGUUGCACGUAGUUUUAUUUGGAAAGUCAGUACCUGUUGAAUUAUUUUUGUUACCCUUAUUAUCAUGAAGUUUUGUGUUUUACUUCUCACAAGCAUUUAUUUCCUUUAAGCACAACACUGACUUUGACUGAAAGACAAAGGAAGUCAUAGCACCUCAAAGCUUGGUGAAUAAUGAAACAAAUGAUGAUACAUCCACACCACAGAAUCCUACUCAGCAAGAAAAAUAAACUAUUACUGCCUGCACAAAUUGGAUAAACCUCAAGGGAGUUACUCUGAGUGGAAAAAGCCAAUAUCAAAAGGUUUCGGGAAUAAAGGAGCAAGGAAGUUGGCAGCAUCUACAAAAUGAUAGCACAAAGGAGCCCUGUGAUGGAAGUGACCUGUACUUUGAGUGCAGUGGUGAGUCUACACAUGCGAUGAUAUUACACAGAAUGAAGUACACACACCGCACACACGAAUGUAUGUAAAACUGGCAAAAUCUGAAUAAGGUCAGUGGAUUUUAUCUGUGUCAGUUUUUAAAUUGUGAUAUUUUACUACAGUUGUAUAAAAUAUGACCAUUGGGAGAAACUAGAUGAAGCUUUCAUGGGAGCUUACGUGGCUUUGCAUUUUUUCUUAUAACUGCAUGGGAAUCUAUAAUUACGUCAAAAUAAGAAGCUUAUAAAGCAAAUGAACAUUAAAUAUUUUAAAAACAGGAAUGCUGGCUUGUAUCAUAGUGUAAGUACUUUAUCAGAGAUACUCCUAAAUAUUUUACUUCAUGUAUUUAAUUAGAAUAGAUCUUUGCAUUAAGAAAGCAAGAUUCACUUUAAUGCUGCUUCUGAAAGUUGCUUCGUAGAGAGAGAGAAUGGAAUGAAACACAUGGUACAGUCCUGUUUCAUAAUAGAUUUCAAGG